GAAAGAAGAAGAGGAAGGUUAGGUGAGGCAGGACCUCGGCCAGCUGAUCUGGUUUAACAUCAUCCGAGUCACAUUGAUUACAUGUCCCCUGAUAUGAUGUGACAAGGAGGGCACCUCUGCAGUCUUCUGCCCCAAACCCAUAACCACAGUCUAAUCAUGAGAAAACCACCUGGCAAACCUGAACUGAGAGACAUUCUACAAAAUACCUGACCAGCACUCCUCCAAACUGUUAAGGGCAUUAAAAAGGCAGGGAAAGCAUGAGAAGCUGUCACAGACCAGAAAAGACUAAGAUGAUGUGACAACUAAAUGUAGUGCGGCAUCCUGGAUGGGAUCCUGGAACAGAAAAAGGAUAGUGGAAGAUCUAGUGAAAUCGAAUCAAGUUAGUUAGUAGUAAUAGACCAAUAUUGUUUGCUGUUGGGGCAAAUAUAUCAGUAGGGGGCGCUGGCUGAGGGGUAUAUGGGACCUCUGUACUACCUUUGCAACUUUUCUGUAAAUUUAAAACUGUUCUGGAGUUCCCUUCGUGGCACAGUGGAAACGAUGGAUCCUUAACCCACUGAGUAAGGCCAGGGAUCAAACCCUUGUCUUCAUGGUUGCUAGUUGGGUUCGUCAACCACUGAGCCAUGAUGGGAACUCCUGGAAUUUAAAUGUUUUAAAGGUAAUGCAAGGAUUGUGUGGGGGAGACUUCCUGGUUGGGAGGAGAGGGAAGGUUUGGAAGGAAGAAGUUCUAAGAAAUCUGAAGUAGGACCAGAGAGGCUACAGGUUUUGAAUGCAGCAAGCAUGCCUGCCCUCAGCAUUGCUGAGGAAGUGGCUACCAAUAAGGUCAGUGAGGUUCUCCCUUACCUGUGGAUGGCAGAGAGAGAUCCAGAGCGAAACUUCCCCAACAGGCACGUGAAGCACUCAGGAAAAUCCUGUUAGAGAGCAGGUUCUGACUCAGCAGGUCUGGGCAGGGCUGAGCUUCUGCUUUUCUAACUGGCUCCCGGGUGAUGCUGAUACUGUUGGUCCCAGGACUAACUUUGAGUUGUAAAAGGCUGGAGAGAUGGACAUCACCGUUCACCUGGGAGGAGGGGAAGAGAUGCUGAAAGGGAAGCUGCGACCUGAAGACACAAUUCCCAACCUCACCAGGGCCUGAGUAGAGGGGCGGGCUCUCGGCUGUGGCCCAGUGAGCAGAGCAGAGCCUGAGUACCGCAGCCUCGGGAAGCAGGUCCGGUUCUGACUGCCUGCAAACAGCCACGCUGGGCAGUGCCUCAGCCCCUAGCCUCACGUCCCCGUCUGUGCAAUAGUCGUUGUAACCCCCAGUGCCUGUGUCUUGAGGUUGUUCUGGGGAUUGAACAUGAGGGUCUCCACAUACAGCGCAACUACUUGUUGAAGCGACUGAAUGCCAAAAGCAUGGUGUUUCCCUGUUUUGUAUUAAUACGGCAGUACCCCCAUGCAGCCAUUUUUACUUUAUUUUUUCAAUCAUUCAGCCAUUCAACAGAUAUACAUCAAAAGCCCACCACAUGCUGCCAAAGAAUUUGCUGUAUGAAAGCUCCAGUCUUGUGGGAUCCAGAUUAACAGAAGGUUAGAGCUCAAGAAAAGAAAAGGGAGAGUUCCCUGGUGGGUCAGUGAGUUAAGGAUCUGGUGUUGUCACUGCAGUUGCUCCGGUGGCUGUUGUGGUGUAGGUUUGAUCCCUGACCUGGGAAGGUAUGCAUGCCAAGGGCAUGGCCAAAAAAAAAAAAAAAGAAAGGCCAGCUGGAUCUUGCCUCCACUUGCCAGGCCAGAAGUCCUCCCUUGUCUUUCUCCAUCAGCUCUCCUCCCUCCCUUUGAUCUCUUUCUCUGGCUGAGUCCACAGAAGAGAGAAAACUACACCCGAGUGGGCUGCCUCUUUUUCUCUAGGAACCCUCCUGCUGGUGGAGGUGUGGCUCCUCCAGCUGCCCUUCUCCUUGGCCUUUAGCUCCCCUUUCUCUGGCUAUAGAGCUUUGGCUGAAGCCUCAGUCACAUCCUGACCACUGUCUUCACAGGGACAGGGACUACAGGAUUCCUGCUCAUCCUCAAGCUUGAUUUAUACAAACACAUUUCUAUGCAUAGUCACAGGAGUUCCAAAGUCAAAUCAAGGUUGUCUCUGCACAGCAGAUACAAGGAAAAGAGAAAGAAAUCCAGGCUGUUGCCUUCUGUUGGGUCACAGACCCUUUAGGAAUCUAUGUUUUCUUUAGAAUACAGCACACAAUGCCACCACCACCACCAGGAAAAACACUCAGACACACACACAACUCUCCCCCCCAACUGCAGGAGAUUUGGGGCACUGGGUUAAGAGUGCCAGGUCUAGCAGCCCCUGUAAGCUUAGGGAUACAGGGAGAAUAUAGCCAGACCACAGGCUAUGGUGGUGGGGAUGACAGAAGUCCCUAGUUUUCAGUGUUAUCACACUGUCCCUAAGCCUCAAGUCCCCAACUCCAAUGGUGGCCACCCACAGCCGUCCUUCACACCAUCCUAAGGUCAGGGCGCAGACUUGCCCAGCCAGAGCAUCCCUGCCAGCUGCUUCUCCUGGUACCCUUGGGACUCACCUAUCCCACUGGGAUAGAAAUCCUAGGCCACUUCUUUCUGGUCUGUGGCUGAUUCCACUCUCACUUCCCAGGACUCCUCAAGCACCCUCCAGCGUUAUUCUCUGCUUUCUCCUCUUGGACUUCGGCUAGCACACAAAAAAGAAAAUGGGGGGGGGGAGUAACUUUCAGGAGUUCCCAUCGUGGCGUAGCAGAAACGAAUCCAACUAGGAACCAUGAGGUUGCAGGUUUGAUCCCUGGCCUUGAUCAGUGGGUUAAGGAUCCGGUGUUGCUGUGAGCUGUGGUGUAGGUCGCAGACACGGCUCGGAUCUGGCAUUGCUGUGGCUAUAGUAUAGGCUGGCAGCUGUAGCUUCAUUUGGACUCCUAGCCUGGGGACCUCCAUA
rnacentral:lncRNA from 1 species